ACCUGGCCUCCCGCCUGCCCCCACCCCCGCACUCAACACCGCCCUGACAUCGCGUGCUGCCAAGGCAACGCGCAACCCGGGGCGUUGUGAUUCAGCAAGCACAGACCUGCUUCGCGCCACGUGGGACCUCCCCAGCGUGCUGGCUGCCCCCUGACGUUUUCAUUCAUUUUUAUAUUCCCAGUGCAGCCUCGCCAGAGACCCUUCUCGGGAUCCCGCAGACCUUAGGAUCCCUCCUGGGGUUUAAUGAGAGUGUUCCUGUCACUUGAGAGCAUCCUCUGGCUGUGCUAUGAAAAUGUCUGGUGUCUCUAUCAUUAUCAGAUCCUGCCAAGAGCCAUCAGCAGAGACGGAACAAACAUACCUACACCCCGGUCCCCAGGCUGACAGGAUAGCUGGAGUUAGACAGAGGACAUGGGCAGUCCUGCAUCCAACCAAUGGCAGCCCAGAGGCACAGCGGGACUCUUACAGCCCCCACUACCCACCACCAAAGCUGGUAUUUAAAUAGAGAGCUGGACUUCUGGCUCCAGGCCCGGUAGCCACAUAAGUCACAGCUGAUAGCAUGCCCACAGUACACCACUGAGCUGGUGGUCAGAGGCAUCAGCCAUGGCCUCCAUCCCUCGCCAGCACGGGGACCUCAGGAAAGUCAUCUCCUUAAGUCUCAGCACGAUUACCUGGAAAAUGAAGCAAUAUUCUAUCUCCCAGACUCCUGAGAAGAUUAAAUGACCUACUUUCAGUGCAAGAGUUCAGAGUCAUACCUAGCCCUUGGGAAGGGCCUCUCAGAGGCCCACAGAAAGGGACUGUUUCGUUCACUCUUACCACAGUACUUGUCACUGGGGAAAUGAGCAGUAAACAUUUGUUGAGUGAUGAGAAAUGAGUAAAUGAAUGUAGUCCAAUC